rnacentral:rRNA from 1 species
AACGAACGCUGGCGGCAUGCCUAACACAUGCAAGUCGAACGAGACCUUCGGGUCUAGUGGCGCACGGGGGCGUAACGCGUGGGAACGUGCCCUUAGGUUCGGAAUAACUCCCCGAAAGGGGGGCUAAUACCGGAUAAUGUCUGCGGACCAAAGAUUUAUCGCCUUUGGAUGGGCCCGCGUUGGAUUAGCUAGUUGGUAGGGUAAAAGCCUACCAAGGCGACGAUCCAUAGCUGGUCUGAGAGGAUGAUCCGCCACACUGGGACUGAGCCACGGCCCAGACUCCUACGCGAGGCAGCCGUGCCGAAUCUUGCACAACCGCCGAAAUCCUGAUCCAGCAAUGCCGCGUGAGUGAUGAAGUCCUUAGGGUUGUACAGCUCUUUUACCCGCGAUGAUAAUGACAGUACCGGGAGAAUAAGCUCCGGCUAACUCCGUG